rnacentral:rRNA from 1 species
GAUUACCCGCUGAACUUAAGCAUAUCAGUAAGCGGAGGAAAAGAAACUAACUAGGAUUCCGUCAGUAACGGCGAGUGAAGACGGAAUAGCCCAAGGUUCAAACCUGGAUCUCUUCGAGGUUAGGUGAUGUGACCUAUGGACUGAUGGAGCCCGUUGCUGUGACUGUUAAUUCCGUUUGGAAUUUCGAGUCAUAGAAGGUGAUAACCCUGUUCGCAGUAUCACAGUAACUGGACUUUGCCAUUAGCUCCACGAGUAGGAAUGUCUGAAAUUGCAUUCUGAAUGGGUGAUAAGAUUCAUCCAAGGCUAAAUAUAUGUUAGGAGAUCGAUAGCAUACAAGUACCGUGAGGGAAAGGUGAAAAGAACUUUGAAAAAAGGUUUAAAAGUAUUUGACACCGUUUAUGUGGAAGCGUUUACUUGGACCCCGAUUAAUGACGUUGGUUUAGCUCUAAUUCUUAGGUGGCCAAAGUAGAGUGUUACGUGCUGAUCAAAAGGUAACGGACAUUUGAUUCAUUGGUUAUCGACGAGGAAGGUACUCUAAAUCAGCCAGUUACUAACGGGUGAGAUCUGAUAUUUAUAAAAUGGGGGAUGAGGCUUAUCGGCUUGCUGGUGGCUCGCUCUUAAUAAUGGAUAUUGGGUUUCAUCAAGAUUGCAAAAUGGUGGCAAUUCACUAUUAGUGGCUAUUAAUUUUGUCUGCGUGGCUUGGCCUUGUCUGCAGGUUAUCUUCGGAUGACUUGUAGCUUUGUUGAACGCGUGGGUUUAAUGUUGUGGCUCUAGUAGCGUUACCAUAUCGUUAGAGUGGGUUCAAUAAAUGUCCCGUCUUGAAACACGGAUCAAGGAGGCCGUUUUGUGUGCGAGUGUAAGAGUAAUUAAAACUCUGACGCGUAUUGAAAGAAAGAAUACUCCAAAAGAUCGCAACUACGGUUGCCUUCUGUAAGGAGUGCCCGAAUCAUGAGAACUCUGUUUCGAAAGGAUUUGCGGUUGAGCACAUAGAAUGGGACCCGAAAGGUUGUGAACUAUGCCUGAGGAAGGCGAAGUCAGGGGAAACUCUGAUGGAGGCUUGUCGCAAUGCUGACGUGCAAAUCGCUUGUCUAACUUGGGUAUAGGGGCGAAAGACUAAUCGAACAACCUAGUAGCUGGUUCCUUCCGAAGUUUCCCUCAGGAUAGCUGGAGCAAUAUUCUAGUUCCAUCUUGUAAAGACAAUGAUUAGCAGUUUCGGGGGCGUAAUGCUCUCAGCUGAUUCUCAAACUCUGAACGGGUGGGUAUCAUUUUAAUUCACUUAAUUGGAUUUUAAAAUUAAAUUACACAUGUGUAAUGAAAAAUAGGAGCUCUUAGUGGGCCAUUUUUGGUAAGCAGAACUGGCGAUGU